GAAUGUGGCUGGAAGAGCCGCUCACCUGAGGCAUACGUGGGUCUUUCCUCGUAGCCAGAGGCUGGUUUGCUCGCUCCUUUGAAAGACAGCCCCUUGCUGGGAGACUGAAGCAGGAGGCCAUUCACGAGUUCGAAGCCAGUUUGGAUCACAUAGUAAAUUCCAGGCUAGCCUAGGCUACAGAGUCAGACUUGGUCUCCAAACCAAAAAUCAAGCAAACCAACAUUAUACCUGAAUUUUUUUUAGAUCGUUUUGGCUGCUCUGGAAUAGGUUAUGUAGACCAGGCUGACUUCUGCCUACCGUGGGCUGGAUUAAAGAAAGAUCAUAUCUUAACGGUUCAAGUCUGGAGACUGGAUUCCACACAGAGUGGCUUACAAUGGAUACUUCAGAACUUGUGGGAUCCCACGUGGGUUUAAUAACAGAGACACAGAGACAUCUGUAUAGUAUAAGGCUGUUUGCCUGUUUGCUGGGGCAGUCCCUCAGCUAACCCUCCAGACUCAACGCGACUUCCCUGCUACGAGUCCCUGGCGUUCUCUCUGCUCAACCUCCCUGUCCUGCUCAGUUCUGCUUCUGUCUCUCUCUCCUCCUGCCCCGACUCCAACAGUCAACUCUAGUCCUCAAAGGCCACACGCCUUACUCAUCCAAUCUGAGCCAAUCAGCAACGGACAACGCCUAGUCUGAGCCAAUCAGCAGCAGGACAACACCUAGUCUGAGCCAAUCAGCAGCAGGACAACGCCCGGUCCAUAUUUCUGUGUUGUCUUUUGGCUUUGGCAGCUUUUGACCUUCACCAGGCAGCUUUCUUUUUAACAGGCUAAUCUCAGAGAAACACCUUUGUGGCAGGCAAGGAAGGACAAACACUUACAUAUAGAAAGCAGGAGGAACAACAAUAUGAACCAACCAAUACCCCCAGAGCUCCCAGGGACUAAACCACCAACCAAGGAGUACACACACCCAUGGCUCCAGCUGCAUAUGUAGCAGAGGAUGGCCUUGUUGGACAUCAGUGAGAGGAGAGGCCCUUGGUCCUAAGAAGGCUCGAUGCCCCAGUGUAGGGGAAUGCCAGGAUAGAAGGAGUGGGUGGGUUGGUGAGCAGCGGGAUAGGGGAUGAUGGGAUAGGGGGUUUUCAGAGGGGAAACUAGGAAAGGGGAUGAAAUGUAAACAAAGAGAGGACUGGAGAGAUGGCUCCACGGUUGAGAGCACUGACUGCUCUUCUGAAGGUCCUGAGUUCAAGUCCUAGCAACCACAUGGUGGCUCAUGACCAUCUGUGAUGGGAUCUGAUGCCCUCUUCUGGUGUGUCUGAAGACAGUGACAGUGUAUUCAUAUACAUUAAAUAAAUAAAUCUUUAAAAGAAAGAAGAAAAAUGU
rnacentral:lncRNA from 1 species